AUUAUGCAUUGUGAUAGUGUCCAGCAACUGAUACAGCAAAACUCCCUCCUCUUUUUUUGCCAGAGGGAAGAGAAGGAAGAUUGCAAACACUCAUAAUCUAUUAUCUUUUCUUUUAUUUCUGUCACAUAUUUGUUGACUGUUCUCCCCUUACUACUCUGUGUGGGGAGUGUACACUGUUCUGGUGAUUGGCAAACUGUAAGUGCCUAAGAGAUUUUUAUUAAGUGAAUGAGUAAUAAGCGGACAUAUAUGUACAUGCACACACUGUAGUAUAGGAGAAGACAUAUAAACAGCUAAUUUGAUACAGUGCAGGAUAUGUACUGAUCAACUGGGUAGAUUUUGCCAUACAUAUGUAAGUUAAGAUUUGCAGGUAAGGUGGUAUCUUACCUGCUUGGAGAGAUGUGACGGGAGAGGCAUAUUGUAAAGAACCUUUGGAUUCCAUGCCUAGGAAUUUGGACUCUUCUCUGAGUGAAAAGGAUGUUAAAUCAGUCCCCACUUCUUCAGGGAAGUGACAGAAAAUUGGAGUGAAGUGGAGGAUGGAUUUUGAGCUAGGAGAGCCAGAAGAAAUGCUGAAGAGUUAGGCCAUUGUAGUAUUCUGAGCAGGAGAUGAUGAAGGCCUGGAUCAGUAGAGUGAUUGCAGAAAGUAGAGUGGAGAUUCACAUGAGAAAUUGAAG
rnacentral:lncRNA from 10 species